UCCCUGGCCCCUCUUCCAGCCUCGGGUGCUGUAAAAAGUAGGCGCGCAGCCACGGGCGGAGCUGGGGACAGGCCUCAGCUGGUCCCAGGAUGAACGAGGAGUUUGAGAAGUUUGGUUUCGGCACGGGAUUGUGCGGGGACCCUGCGCAAUCCCUCUGCGCAUCUCGCAUCUCGAGGAGUUCAGAUGCCUUGGGAUGGGUCCCAUCUGCAGAGGAGGGGGCCGGUAGGAGGCCCGCGGGCUGUACCUUGAUACCUUUGGAGACUUCUCUUGCCUCACCCUACUCUGCCUUUGUCCUUGAGGUUUAUGCAGACCAGUCCCAAACACAGGCUAACUUUCCUGGCUUCUCAGUAACACAGGUUUCAUCCCUGGCUUCCACGCACGGGCUUCUGCUCCCCUCUUUUCAUUCCCCUAUAUCUGUUUCCAUUAGGAAUCCCCCGACCAUUGAGGAAUGUUAGUUAGGGCGAGCCCCACUCCUUUUUACAGAUGGAGACCCAGAGCCUGCUCUCAGAAACAACCAAAAUAAGAUUAGAAUCAGAAUGUAGUCUCCCUAGGUGCUCGGUGCUCUCAGUUCAAUGCUGUUUGCCUGAAGGGAGUGGGUGAGCUCCUAGCUCAGGAGAUAGCCCUCUGAAAGAGAAUUUCAAGGCCAACUAUAUUUGUCAACGGUGCUAGCUCCCCUUCUUGGAGAUUGGCGAUGCUCAUUAGCUUGUCAAGGUCUGAGAAGCUGUUACAGACGCCCUAGUUAUUUAGUUUACUAUUACAACUGCACCUUGGGAUUCCAAGCAGUCCUGUUAUGUCUCUGCUCUGAUUCCCAAGGAGCCCAACCCAUUGGCUGUGUUCUGUUUGAAGAUUUGGGGAGCUGCAUCCCUUUCCCAGGGAAUUUUUCCUACAGGAGACCCACCCCAGUGAGGACAUUGCUGUCCCUAACCAGCCAGAGACCCCGUGAAUUUGAUAAUUCCUUUACUUUGUUGGAGAAAUGAAGCCAAGGUUAUCCAGAUGGUUUCCAAGUCUAAAGAAACUUCACCUCUAAGAGAUCCUGGCUUUGAACGUGAACAUGGUAGGGUGGGUCCUGCUCACCAAAGAAAAGAAAACUCUCUGGAGCUGGGGUGAAUUGCUGGCCAGGCCUCUAAGGCUUCCAUCUUGCUGGGGGCAUAGAGAUUUCCAGGGCUGGCUAUACCAACUUCUCCCAGGGCCCACUUCCCUGGGCUGGCAGCACCAUACCGGCCUGGGCCAGCAGAAAGUUUGAGUCUUCACUGGCAGUAGGGGAGGUGGUGAGAGGAAUGACCUCUGCCCAGCAGCUUCCUUUCCACACCAUCCAAAGGAAGAGCCAAGAUGGGUGAAGAUUGAUUUUGCCUCAACUCAAGAGAAUUUCUGAUUCUCCUCGUGCUAUGAUUUUGGCACAAGAUUCUGGACACUUGGAACUGAGCUGUGUACCCCUAUAGCCUAAACAAUGGGUUUCAGUUUGAGUUUUUGUUCUUUCUUUCUUUUGUAGAUUAUUGCCUAAGAUGUAUCCUCAGCUCAGGUCCAGCCCCCUCAGGAUUUCUUUUUGUCUCCAGCCCCGGUGCUGUCUGUGGUCAGGUGACCUUAUGGAUUAAGGAUAAGGAGUGGAUAUCUCCUUGGCCUUCAUGGUGCCUCACCCAUCCGGACGUACCUGUAGCAUUCUAGAGCUCACUGGCUCUUCUAGAUGUGCCUUCCCGCUCGGCUUCCAGUGGCUUGGUGGUCCUUCUGUUUGCCAGAUGUUGAGAAGGACUUGUAAGACACCCAGCAUACCUGCCUUCCCCCUCGAGGACCCAUGCCAUAGCAGCGGCCAUCUGACCUGGCUCAGCACUUUUGGAUACUUCAGACUCCCUCUUUGGACAUCAGGACUCGGUCCAGCCAAGACCAUCUGGGCAGCUUCCAGCCCAAAAGUCUGGGGCUACUUGUGGACCCAGAAGAGGAUUUCUAUAGUGUUCUGCAAAGGCCAAAAGGGAGAGAUGAGGGAAGACAAGGGAGAGGAGACUGAAGUGCCUCAUUCAGUAGUUUAGUGGUGAUUAUUACACUAAUAUGCUUUUCCAAAUAAAGUUUGGUUGUCUGA